rnacentral:rRNA from 1 species
AGUGAACGCUGGCGGUAGGCCUAACACAUGCAAGUCGAACGGCAGCACAGUAAGAGCUUGCUCUUACGGGUGGCGAGUGGCGGACGGGUGAGGAAUACAUCGGAUUCUACAUUUUCGUGGGGGAUAACGUAGGGAAACUUACGCUAAUACAGCAUACGACCUACGGGUGAAAGCAGGGGAUCUUCGGACCUUGCGCGAUUGAAUGAGCCGAUGUCGGAUUAGCUAGUUGGCGGGGUCAAGGCCCACCAAGGCGAAGAUCCGUAGCUGGUCUGAGAGGAUGAUCAGCCACACUGGAUCUGAGACACGGUCGAGACUCCUGCGGUAGGGAGCAGUGGAGAAUAUUGGACAAUGGGGGCGAGCCUGAUCCAGCCCUACCGCGUAGGUCAAGAAGGCCUCCGGGUUGUAAAGCCCUUUUGUUGGUAAAAAAAAGCAGCAGUUUAAUACCCCGCGGUUCUGACGGUACCCAAAGAAUAAGCACCGGCUAACUUCGUG